CUCUCUUAAACCCUCGGGUUUAGUGUUGAACCUUUCCUUCAAACGAAGGAUGGCUCGAAAUGAAAUGGCAAGGCAAUCCAGUCUAAAGCUUACACAGUGUCUUAGGUUUUACCAAUUACGCUGGGCAAAGCUGCUUGGAUGAGCCGGGCGGUACAAACUUCUUUUUAUAAA
rnacentral:misc_RNA from 1 species